rnacentral:rRNA from 1 species
GACGAACGCUGGCGGCGUGCCUAAUACAUGCAAGUAGAACGCUGAAGAGAGGAGCUUGCUCUUCCUGGAUGAGUUGCGAACGGGUGAGUAACGCGUAGGUAACCUGCCUGGUAGCGGGGGAUAACUAUUGGAAACGAUAGCUAAUACCGCAUAAAAUUGAUUAUUGCAUGAUAAUUAAUUGAAAGAUGCAACUGCAUCACUACCAGAUGGACCUGCGUUGUAUUAGCUAGUUGGUGAGGUAACGGCUCACCAAGGCGACGAUACAUAGCCGACCUGAGAGGGUGAUCGGCCACACUGGGACUGAGACACGGCCCAGACUCCUACGGGAGGCAGCAGUAGGGAAUCUUCGGCAAUGGGGGGAACCCUGACCGAGCAACGCCGCGUGAGUGAAGAAGGUUUUCGGAUCGUAAAGCUCUGUUGUAAGAGAAGAACGGGUGUGAGAGUGGAAAGUUCACACUGUGACGGUAUCUUACCAGAAAGGGACGGCUAACUACGUG